rnacentral:rRNA from 1 species
GCGUGGGUAACCUGGCCCAUACAGGGGGAUAACACUUAGAAAUAGGUGCUAAUACCGCAUAACAACAGAAAGCGCAUGCUUUUUGUUUGAAAACCAAGGUGGUAUGGGAUGGACCCGCGUCUGAUUAGCUGGUUGGCGGGGUAAAGGCCCACCAAGGCGACGAUCAGUAGCCGGCCUGAGAGGGUGGACGGCCACAUUGGGACUGAGACACGGCCCAAACUCCUACGGGAGGCAGCAGUGGGGAAUAUUGCACAAUGGGGGAAACCCUGAUGCAGCGACGCCGCGUGAGUGAAGAAGUAAUUCGUUAUGUAAAGCUCUAUCAGCAGGGAAGAAAAUGACGGUACCUGAGUAAGAAGCCCCGGCUAACUACGUGCCAGCAGCCGCGGUAAUACGUAGGGGGCAAGCGUUAUCCGGAUUUACUGGGUGUAAAGGGAGCGUAGACGGCAGUGCAAGUCUGGAGUGAAAGGCGGGGGCUCAACCCCCGGACUGCUCUGGAAACUGUACGGCUGGAGUGCAGGAGAGGUAAGUGGAAUUCCUAGUGUAGCGGUGAAAUGCGUAGAUAUUAGGAGGAACACCAGUGGCGAAGGCGGCUUACUGGACUGUAACUGACGUUGAGGCUCGAAAGCGUGGGGAGCAAACAGGAUUAGAUACCCUGGUAGUCCACGCCGUAAACGAUGAUCACUAGGUGU